AUACGGAGGGUGCAAGCGUUAUCCGGGAUCAUUGGGUUUAAAGGGUCCGUAGGCGGAUAAUUAAGUCAGGGGUGAAAUCCCACAGCUCAACUGUGGCACUGCCUUUGAUACUGGUUAUCUUGAGUUAUAGGGAAGUAGAUAGAAUAUGUAGUGUAGCGGUGAAAUGCAUAGAUAUUACAUAGAAUACCGAUUGCGAAGGCAGUCUACUAUCUGUAUACUGACGCUAAGGGACGAAAGCGUGGGGAGCGAACAGGAUUAGAAACCCUAGUAGUCC
rnacentral:rRNA from 1 species